rnacentral:misc_RNA from 1 species
AAGUCGUAACAAGGUUUCCGUAGGUGAACCUGCGGAAGGAUCAUUAAUACGCUUUUGUUUGUAACAAAACAAAACGUUUUAAACCCCAAAAUUGAAAUAGUGGAAACAUAUCUUCCGGAUGCUAAUGUUGGAGAACUUGAGUAAAAUCGGUUCUUUGAAAAAGGGACUUCAAGCAAUUGACACUUCAGAGUAGAGCAGUGAGGUGAAACUCGAAAGAGUUUGGUUCUGAAAAACAUUUGUAUCCGGUUAUCAAAUCUGUUCUACCAAAAUAUUAAACAAUAAACCCCAUGUACAACAACUUAAACUAAACAUUUUUUUGUUUGUCUGCUUCGCGGCAGAUGUGCAAAGAAAAAACCUGAACUUAAGAACAACUCUUAACAACGGAUAUCUUGGUUCUC